GCUGUCCUGUGGAGUGUGGACUAUCCACUUCGGUUCUAUCCAGCUGCUACGAAAAUCUACAUAGUGUCAUUUAUUCAACUUAACCAAGGAAGCAAUCGAGAACAAUUCGAUACACUGAUCUGGAGAUUGGUAAUCAGUUAACUAGUCAACGUUAACCCCGAAAUGGAAUUAAUCUAGUGGCUAGGGAUCAACAGAUCCUACCAAGUUGGUUUCAUCAUGCGUAUGGAGGGAUGAAUUGAGGGAACCACUAGAAAAAUUGGGUGAAAGAACCAGGUCUCAUUGGAGCUCCAAUCACCUGACCAACAACACUCCAAA